rnacentral:rRNA from 1 species
GACGAACGCUGGCGGCGUGCUUAACACAUGCAAGUCGAACGGAAAGGCCCUGCUUUUGUGGGGUGCUCGAGUGGCGAACGGGUGAGUAACACGUGAGUAACCUGCCCUUGACUUUGGGAUAACUUCAGGAAACUGGGGCUAAUACCGGAUAGGAGCUCCUGCUGCAUGGUGGGGGUUGGAAAGUUUCGGCGGUUGGGGAUGGACUCGCAGCUUAUCAGCUUGUUGGUGGGGUAGUGGCUUACCAAGGCUUUGACGGGUAGCCGGCCUGAGAGGGUGACCGGCCACAUUGGGACUGAGAUACGGACCAGACUCCUACGGGAGGCAGCAGUGGGGAAUAUUGCACAAUGGGCGGAAGCCUGAUGCAGCAACGCCGCGUGCGGGAUGACGGCCUUCGGGUUGUAAACCGCUUUCGCCUGUGACGAAGCGUGAGUGACGGUAAUGGGUAAAGAAGCACCGGCUAACUACGUG